GGGUUGUGAGGUUAAGCGACUAAGCGUACACGGUGGAUGCCCUGGCAGUCAGAGGCGAUGAAGGGCGUGCUAAUCUGCGAUAAGCGCCGGUAAGGUGAUAUGAACCGUUAUAACCGGCGAUACCCGAAUGGGGAAACCCAGUGUGAUUCGUCACACUAUCAUUAACUGAAUCCAUAGGUUAAUGAGGCGAACCGGGGGAACUGAAACAUCUAAGUACCCCGAGGAAAAGAAAUCAACCGAGAUUCCCCCAGUAGCGGCGAGCGAACGGGGAGGAGCCCAGAGCCUGAAUCAGCAUGUGUGUUAGUGGAAGCGUCUGGAAAGGCGCGCGAUACAGGGUGACAGCCCCGUACACAAAAGCGAAUAUGCUGUGAGCUCGAUGAGUAGGGCGGGACACGUGGUAUCCUGUCUGAAUAUGGGGGGACCAUCCUCCAAGGCUAAAUACUCCUGACUGACCGAUAGUGAACCAGUACCGUGAGGGAAAGGCGAAAAGAACCCCGGCGAGGGGAGUGAAAAAGAACCUGAAACCGUGUACGUACAAGCAGUGGGAGCCCCACCACCAAAGCAUUCUCUGGUGUUGAAGGCCCUGCAAAGCAGCAUCGCGGUGGCGGAGCGUCGUUUGCGACGCCCAACACACAAAACAAGCGGUGAGUGCUUUGGGGUGGGGUGACUGCGUACCUUUUGUAUAAUGGGUCAGCGACUUAUAUUCUGUAGCAAGGUUAACCGCAUAGGGGAGCCGAAGGGAAACCGAGUCUUAACCGGGCGUUAAGUUGCAGGGUAUAGACCCGAAACCCGGUGAUCUAGCCAUGGGCAGGUUGAAGGUUGGGUAACACUAACUGGAGGACCGAACCGACUAAUGUUGAAAAAUUAGCGGAUGACCUGUGGCUGGGGGUGAAAGGCCAAUCAAACCGGGAGAUAGCUGGUUCUCCCCGAAAGCUAUUUAGGUAGCGCCUCGUGAACUCAUCUCCGGGGGUAGAGCACUGUUUCGGCUAGGGGGUCAUCCCGACUUACCAACCCGAUGCAAACUGCGAAUACCGGAGAAUGUUAUCACGGGAGACACACGGCGGGUGCUAACGUCCGUCGUGAAGAGGGAAACAACCCAGACCGCCAGCUAAGGUCCCAAAGUCAUGGUUAAGUGGGAAACGAUGUGGGAAGGCCCAGACAGCCAGGAUGUUGGCUUAGAAGCAGCCAUCAUUUAAAGAAAGCGUAAUAGCUCACUGGUCGAGUCGGCCUGCGCGGAAGAUGUAACGGGGCUAAACCAUGCACCGAAGCUGCGGCAGCGAACGUAUCACUUAAAGCGA
rnacentral:rRNA from 1 species